AUAGAGAGUCUGACCUGCCCGGUGAUGUAGGAAUUAAACGGCCGCAGUACCCUGACUGUGCAAAGGUAGCAUAAUCAUUUGCCUUUUAAUUGAGGGCUAGUAUGAAAGGUUUGACGUGGACUAAGCUGUCUCCUGAGGAUUAUAUAGAAAUUAAUUUUUAGGUGAAAAAGCCUAAAUUUGGUUAUGGGACGAGAAGACCCCGUUGAGCUUUAACUAAACCUGAAAAUAGGGAAAACUGUGAGAUGUAUUGAACUAAUUUUCAGGGUGUUUUUCGUGGGGGAAAACGGAGGAAUAAAUAGAGCUUCCUUUUUUAAGAAAAAUUGGAUUAUGCCAAAGGUGUAAGUAUAUUUUGUUAUUUGUUUAAGGCUGAUGUGCAAAGGUUUAAUAAAAGGAUCCGUUGAAGAAAUGAAGACGAUUAAGGGAGAGAGUUACCACGGGGAUAACAGCGUAAUUUCUUCUGGAGAGUUCAUAUUGAAGGAGGGGUUUGCGACCUCGAUGUUGGAUUAAGACAUCCUGAAGGUGUAGCAGCUUCAAGGG
rnacentral:rRNA from 1 species